rnacentral:tRNA from 1 species
GGAUAGUCUAGCGGUUAGAACGCUGGCCUUGUAAUCCUGGGGUCUCGGGUUCGAUUCCCGGCGGUGUCCG